rnacentral:lncRNA from 1 species
CAACCUUGGUCCAAUGAGAGGUCACAAUAACUACAGGUGCAUUGACGACCUGCUGGGCAUGGAGGUUUGGUAAAGACUAAGUGUCACAACCAGAGGGAGAAGAAAUAUCAAAUUCCCUUAUUCUAACCAUGGAAAGAUCUAGAUAUGUUGACGAAAAAGAGAAAAGAGAAAAAGAUUGCAUUUGGUCGGCUUCAUCAUAAAAAUCAAUUUGCUCUUCACCGGAGACCUCAUACCCAAGGUUGCAAUUCUUUUCUGGGAACAUAACAGUCGUUGGUUGAUAGGAGGACUCAGAAGCAGACUUGUAGAUUUUUGUUUUAGUCCCCUUGUGAGAAACCGUAUAUGGGUCUUUAAGUGAUUUAAGAGAUUGGGCUGGCCCAAUAACUUUCCACUCUUUAUUUCCCUUCCAUCAAAAGAAACCAUUAGGCCUCUUCCCUA